AUUGAACGCUGGCGGCAGGCCUAACACAUGCAAGUCGAACGAGUGGCGGACGGGUGAGUAAUGUCUGGGAAACUGCCUGAUGGAGGGGGAUAACUACUGGAAACGGUAGCUCAUACCGCAUACCAUCAGAUGUGCCCAGAUGGGAUUAGCUAGGUGGUGGGGUAACGGCGCACAAAGGCGACGAUCCCUAGCUGGUCUGAGAGGAUGACCAGCCACACUGGAACGGAGACACGGUCCAGAUGCCUGCGGGAGGCAGCAGUGGGGAAUAUUGCACAAUGGGCGCAAGCCUGAUGCAGCCAUGCCGCGUGUAUGAAGAAGGCCGUCGGGUUGUAAAGUACUUUCGGCUGGGAGGCGUUACCCGCAGAAGAAGGACCGGCUAACUCCGUGCCAGCAGCCGCGGUAAUUC
rnacentral:rRNA from 1 species